rnacentral:rRNA from 1 species
AUGAUCAAUGACUUGUUUGACCAAUUGCAAGGAGCUAAGGUAUUUUCGAAGAUCGAUCUACGAUCAGGAUACCAUCAGUUGAAGAUUCGAGAGCAGGAUAUACCUAAGACGGCUUUUACCACCAGGUACGGGCUGUAUGAGUAUACCGUUAUGCCAUUUGGCCUGACUAACGCACCUGCCUAUUUUAUGAACAUGAUGAACAAGGUGUUUAUGGAGUUUUUGGAUAAGUUCGUCGUGGUGUUCAUUGAUGAUAUUUUGGUCUACUCAAAGAAUGAAGAAGAGCAUAAGGAGCAUUUGCAUUUGGUACUUGGGAAGCUCAGAGAACAUCAGUUAUAUGCCAAGUUCAGCAAAUAUGAAUUUUGGUUGAAGGAAGUUGGAUUCCUCGGACAUGUUAUAUCCGGAGAAGGAAUAGCAGUAGACCCACCAAAGUUGUCACUGUGA